rnacentral:rRNA from 1 species
AUUGAACGCUGGCGGCAGGCCUAACACAUGCAAGUCGAACGAGUGGCGGACGGGUGAGUAAUGUCUGGGAAACUGCCCAAUGGAGGGGGAUAACUACGGGAAACGGUAGCUAAUACCGCGUACCAUCGAAUGUGCCCAGGUGGGUUUAGCUAGUUGGUGGGGUAACGGCUCACCAAGGCGACGAUCCCUAGCUGGUCUGAGAGGAUGACCAGCCACACUGGAACUGAGACACGGCCCAGACUCCUACGGGAGGCAGCAGUGGGGAAUAUUGCACAAUGGGCGCAAGCCUGAUGCAGCCAUGCCGCGUGUAUGAAGAAGGCCUUCGGGUUGUAAAGUUCUUUCAGUAGGGAGGCGUUACCUACAGAAGAAGCACCGGCUAACUCCGUGCCAGCAGCCGCGGUAAUUC